UACGGAGGGAGCUAGCGUUGUUCGGAAUUACUGGGCGUAAAGCGCGCGUAGGCGGCUUUGUAAGUUAGAGGUGAAAGCCCGGGGCUCAACCCCGGAACUGCCUUUGAGACUGCAUCGCUUGAAUCCGGGAGAGGUGAGUGGAAUUCCGAGUGUAGAGGUGAAAUUCGUAGAUAUUCGGAAGAACACCAGUGGCGAAGGCGGCUCACUGGACCGGUAUUGACGCUGAUGUGCGAAAGCGUGGGGAGCAAACAGG
rnacentral:rRNA from 1 species